UGUUAAUUUAAAUGAGAAAAAUAAGGACAGUGAAAAACAGAGCGCUUAAAAAGCACUGUCUGGAUAUCUUCAGAGGGAAAAAGGAGAAAGUUAAUUGAAUUGGUGACACUUCGGGUCUCUCACAGAGGAAGACCUGUUAGAGUGCUAAGGAGAAGACAAGUUAUUAGCACCCAAAAGAAGCACCAGUGGGGAUGGAAAUACAAGGUUGACAUUCACUGAGCUGUGUUUUUUUUCCAGGGAAAUGGAUAUUCUUGAUAUUUUGAGCAAACUCUUCUUCUCUGUUUGAUCAAUGCCCAGAACAAGGAAACAGACCUUCUCUUUCCAGUACCUCCUAUCUAUCUAGAUAAUAUGGAAGCCAGGGAGAAGAAUGGGAACCCAAGAUCUAUGAGCCCUUAUGACAUAUGAAAAGUGGGUGUUAUCUGAAAAGUAGAACUCUAGAUGAAACCAGGCCUUUCCCAACAAUGGAGCCCAGGACAAUGCUGUCUUCAAUGUCCAUACCAUUAGACUUGUUAUAGAUGAACUUCUAUAAUGAUGGCUUUCUGGUUAAUUAAACCCUCUGAAUGAUUCUGUGUAACACUGACUUCCGUGAUUCAUCACAGAACAAGUCUUCAUUCUUUCAUGGAUUAUUACUGUUUUCAGUGACUAUAUUUGGUUGUUUACUCUUUUUGGCACCAAUCACCCAGUGAGUCAACAACCAGAGUUGCGAACAAAUUACCCUCAUUGUCUUUUCCGAGUCCCUUAAUUUACUUUAUUUUUCAUUUGUUGCAAAUGUCAUUGUUUCUGCUAAUGUUGUUUUUUAACAUCUGCCAAGAUAAAAAUAAAAAAACCACUUGUAA
rnacentral:antisense_RNA from 1 species